rnacentral:lncRNA from 14 species
GCUGCUAUUGAAGGCAGGAGGUAAUAAUUACCCAACUUACGGAAAUUAUUGUUCCAGUGCCUUCAUACUCCACAUUUGGCCUCUUUAUCCUCUCUGUCACAGGUAACUGUCUUACACUAAGAGCAAGAAAAGUAAAUUCACUUGGCUGUCCCAUAUCUCUAAGGAACCUGAUGCAUGAGUGGACUAGAGAAGAGACAGAGAGAAAAACUCCUAAGACCUACAGAUCAUCUGGCUGGCAGGGUCAAGUUUUCUUUGGAUUGAGGUGGAGCUGUGGCUUAUGGACAUCUGAUGUGAUAGAGCAUACUCAACACUUUUAGAUAUCUUGAGACUGCAAAAGCUGACCAUCAACAGCACGUUUUUAAAUAUCACUGCUCUUCAGACAAGUAAGUUCUCCAUUCCAGAUUUUUUUUUCUCUCUAAUAUUCCUAACUUGUAUUUUAUUCUUGUAUUUAUUAUAUGGACUAUCACAUUCA